CCUACGGGAGGCAGCAGUAGGGAAUUUUCGGCAAUGGGGGGAACCCUGACCGAGCAACGCCGCGUGAACGAAGAAGUUAUUCGUAAUGUAAAGUUCUUUUAACAGGGAAGAAAGAGAAAUUUGACGGUACCUGAAGAAUAAGCUCCGGCUAACUACGUGCCAGCAGCCGCGGUAAUACGUAGGGAGCGAGCGUUAUCCGGAAUUAUUGGGCGUAAAGGGUGCGUAGAUGGCAUAGAAAGUCUUUUGUAAAAAUGCUGGGCUCAACCCAGUAGGGCAAAAGAUACUGCAAAGCUAGAGUAUGACAGAGGCAAGUGGAACUACAUGUGUAGCGGUAAAAUGCGUAGAUAUAUGUAAGAACACCAGUGGCGAAGGCGGCUUGCUGGGUCGAUACUGACACUGAGGCACGAAAGCGUGGGGAGCAAACAGGAUUAGAUACCCGAGUAGUC
rnacentral:rRNA from 1 species